rnacentral:tRNA from 1 species
AAGGGAAUAGUUUAAUUGGUAAAACAGUAGUCUCCAAAACUAUCGUUCGAGGUUCAAGUCUUCGUUCCCUUG